rnacentral:rRNA from 1 species
UGCCAGCCGCCGCGGUAAUACGGGGGGUGCAAGCGUUACUCGGAAUCACUGGGCGUAAAGCGUACGUAGGCGGUUUAGUAAGUUGGGGGUGAAAUCCUAUGGCUCAACCAUAGAACUGCUCCCAAAACUACUAGACUAGAAUCAGGAAGGGGCAGAUGGAAUUAGUGGUGUAGGGGUAAAAUCCGUAGAGAUCACUAGGAAUACCAAUAGCGAAGGCGAUCUGCUGGUACUGUAUUGACGCUGAGGUACGAAAGCGUGGGGAGCAAACAGGAUUAGAUA